rnacentral:rRNA from 1 species
AUGGAUCUUAAGAUGAUCAUCGUGUGCUCGGUCGUCGGCUCUCUCGGGGUGCUCAGUGCCAUCCUGGGGUUCUCUGCUGAGGGCACGAAGCUCACCAUUUUGGACGUGUACGUGGGUCUCGGGGUGUGCCUGAACCCGCAGAACCCCGCGUUCGGGCUCGGGGUGUGCGCGGCCAUCUUCCUGGCCAUAGCCCAGAUCAUCUUCGCCGCCCUCGGCGGCUGCUGCGGCUGCUGCAAGUCCCGCGCCAUCCCCUCCCAGAGCAAACGGGUCAUCGGCGUCAUCUGCGCCGUCUUCUCAUGGAUUGUGGCGGCGGUCGCCUUUGGGAUGCUGGUGGUAGAAGCGGCCGCGAACGCCCCCGGGGCGCGUGAAACGUCAGCGUCCGGCUAUUGCUACAUCCCCAUAGAAGGCAUCUUCGCCGGCGGCGCCGCGCUCACGCUCGUCGCCACGGCCCUCGGGAUCACCUCCUACGUCAUGCUCCGCACGCAGCCUGUCACUGUUGCCGAGACCGCCGCACCCAAGGAAGGCGAGCAGAUGCCGGCGAGCGCCGCCGGG